rnacentral:lncRNA from 1 species
AUAAACUCUUAAUUAAACUGAAGAAUUCAGUGUUGCCAUUACCAGUCAGUAAUUCCACUCAAUUAGGACAAUAGACUUCCAUUUAUUACUGAACUCCUAAUUGCUACUCAUUUUCCUGGUUAGUAAUUGCCAAUCCUAUCAGACAAUGUGCUUAAAGAAAAUUCUGCCAUGAAAUUAUAUUUCUCUCCAUCACGGGAAAGGUGGAAUCAGAGUCCUUACGUGGUCAGGAGUUGGGUCCUCUUCUCUAGCUCCAUGCGUCUCCAGGCUCGGGGGUUUUAAAGGCUGGUGUGCCCCAGGGUUGGCUGCUGGUGCUGCGAUCCGCGGGAGACUUGCCCACAAAGGAAAGGCGUAUCCAGGUAGCCAGAGAAUCCCAAAGCCAAACCUAGCCGAAGAGGAUGCAAAAACAAAACCACCCGAAGCGGUCUCCGCAUUUCCAGAAGACUAAGUUCAAAGUCUCCAGGCAGGGCGCAUUUUAGGUCUUGAGGUGUACGUCCACGUCAGGGGGCAGGUUCGGCAUCUGCUGCUUCUCAGCCUCAGGAGACUCAAGACGGAAGUCCGAGGGUGGCAGCCGUGCGGUACCACGGCUGGAGCCAGCCGGCCUCUGCCUCUGCCUCCCCGGGUCUGGCUUCCGAGUUGACAAUGGGCUCAAGCCAUUUACAGCCGGAAGAUGCUCUGAAUGAAGUAUCUACUCCAACUUCAUGUUACAGAGGAGGGAACUGAAGCAGAAAGGAUGAAGGAGCUGUGAAGAUGAUCAUCUCUAUUGAAGGCUCAGCCAUGAGGCAGUCCGUGAGCCUCCUGGGAAGCCUAGAGGUUUGUUUCUACAUGUCUGGUGGCUGCAGAGUUUGGAGAGCCGUGCCAACUGCAGUACCAGCCAAAUUGAGGAAUGGGGGAUUAUCUGCUCACAGCCAGAUCAGGGUGAGAGAAAAGAGACCAGCAAAUAGCCCUGACACAUGCGUAGACUACAAAGUAUGUUGCAGGUGGGGGGAGCAUAAACAAACGCAUGGAGCAUAUUAAGAAGAGAGUCGGGGCAGGCGGGGUGGCUCAUGCCUGUAACCCCAGCACUUUCGGAGGCUGAGGCGGGAGAAUCACUUGAGGUCAGGAGUUUGAGACCAGCCUAGCCAACAUGGUGAAACCCUGUCUCUACUAAAAAUAUAUAAAGUUAGUCAGGCGUGAUGGCCAGUGCCUGUAAUCCCAGCUACCUGGGUGGCUGAGGCAGAAGAACCGCUUGAACCUGGAGGUGGAGGUUGCGGUGAGCUGAGAUAGCACCACUGCACUCCAGCCUGGGGGACAGAGUGAGACCCUGUCUCAAAACAAACAAACAAACAAACAAACAAACAAAGACUGGGUAAACCCGUUGCUAGGAACAAAAGCUUCCUGUCAAGGAGUAGCCUGGUGUGGGUCUUGGAACUUUCCUCCAGCAAAGCGGGCAGCAUGGCCUAUGAACCAAAAGCUUUGAAACAGACACCCACAAAUGGGCUCUGUCACACCACGUCUGGUGUCACAUUCAGGAGCACCUAAUCUUUCACAUUUGCCUUGGGACCCAUCUGGGGUGGGGGCAGGUGGGGUGGGGACAGGUGGGGUGGGUAUCAGCAGCCUCUCUUCCUGAGCCUUACUCAAGUCACACACAAAGGCAGGCCAGGACUGGAACCAACUUUUCUGUCUUAGUUCCAAGCACUUUGCCACCCAUGUUGCCAAUCUAGGUAAAAUUGUAAAUCUGAAAGAUGACACCUUAACUACAAGUUCCUUUAACUCUGGAGAGAGUUAAAUAAAAAUAAUGUAGUGGGCACUCUGCUUACUAGAAGUGUUAUAAAUAUCAAUACAAUGAAACAUUUGAAACCGAUGGCACUCUGAAAGGACAGCUAUGGUAAAUGAGGAAAACAACACGAAAAAGGCCAUUAUUUUGCUUAUUGGGAGAGUUUUCCAUUCACAACUACACGUAUGUUUGUUACAACUGGGAAAUCUGUUAUGUUUUGUUGACAACUCAGACUGUUUCUACAUUCCUGCCACAUUGCUGGGAGAUUUCCAGGCUCAAGGAGAUAAUACGUUCAUGUGUUUAGGCACCAGGGCUUUUAGUGUAUUUACGAUUUAACAGAAGUUUCUUUUCGGUCAUAAAAUAUAAAACUAUGAUGACCGGCUCAAAGGUCUGGAGGGACGAGCUUGGGAAAAGGAAAUUACCCUACUAGUCUAACAAUGCUACCCUUCUCUUCAAAACAGAUCCUCAGAGCUGCUUCAACCACUACCCUAUAUCCAAAGAGUUUCUAAAAUAAAGGAACAGUAUGCCCCCAAAAGUUCUAACAACCUCUAGGGAGAUAGGGGAUGGUAAGAACAAGGCAGUUUGAGUCAGAAAGAUCUGAGUUCUGA